GAUGAACGCUGGCGGCGUGCCUAAUACAUGCAAGUCGAGCGAACAGACGAGGAGCUUGCUCCUCUGACGUUAGCGGCGGACGGGUGAGUAACACGUGGAUAACCUACCUAUAAGACUGGGAUAACUUCGGGAAACCGGAGCUAGUACCGGAUAAUAUAUUGAACCGCAUGGUUCAAUAGUGAAAGACGGUUUUGCUGUCACUUAUAGAUGGAUCCGCGCCGCAUUAGCUAGUUGGUAAGGUAACGGCUUACCAAGGCAACGAUGCGUAGCCGACCUGAGAGGGUGAUCGGCCACACUGGAACUGAGACACGGUCCAGACUCCUACGGGAGGCAGCAGUAGGGAAUCUUCCGCAAUGGGCGAAAGCCUGACGGAGCAACGCCGCGUGAGUGAUGAAGGUCUUCGGAUCGUAAAACUCUGUUAUUAGGGAAGAACAAAUGUGUAAGUAACUAUGCACGUCUUGACGGUACCUAAUCAGAAAGCCACGGCUACUACGUG
rnacentral:rRNA from 1 species